rnacentral:lncRNA from 1 species
GUGGUGGUAUGAAACUGGGUUGUUUACAGGCGGUGGUAUGAAACUGGGUUGUCUACAGGCGGUGGUAUGAAACUGGGUUGUCUACAGGUGGUGGUGUGAAACUGGGUUGUCUACAGGUGGUGGUAUGAAACUGGGUUGUCUACAGGUGGUGGUAUGAAACUGGGUUGUCUACAGGUGGUGGUAUGAAACUGGGUUGUCUACAGGCGGUGGUAUGAAACUGGGUUGUCUACAGGCGGUGGUAUGAAAUUGGGUUGUCUACAGGCGGUGGUAUGAAACUGGGCUGUCUACAGGUGGUGGUAUGAAACUGGGUUGUCUACAGGCGGUGGUAUGAAACUGGGUUGUCUACAGGCGGUGGUAUGAAACUGGGUUGUUUACAGGUGGUGGUAUGAAACUGGGUUGUCUACAGGUGGUGGUAUGAAACUGGGUUGUUUACAGGUGUUGGUGUGAAACUGGGUUGUCUACAGGCCGUGGUAUGAAACUGGGUUGUCUACAGGCGGUGGUAUGAAACUGGGUUGUCUACAGGUGGUGGUAUGAAACUGGGUUGUCUACAGGCGGUGGUAUGAAACUGGGUUGUCUACAGGCGGUGGUAUGAAACUGGGUUGUCUACAGGCGGUGGUAUGAAACUGGGUUGUUUACAGGUGGUGGUAUGAAACUGGGUUGUCUACAGGUGGUGGUAUGAAACUGGGUUGUUUACAGGUGGUGGUGUGAAACUGGGUUGUCUACAGGUGGUGGUAUGAAACUGGGUUGUUUACAGGUGUUGGUGUGAAACUGGGUUGUCUACAGGUCGUGGUGUGAAACUGGGUUGUCUACAGGUCGUGGUAUGAAACUGGGUUGUCUACAGGCGGUGGUAUGAAACUGGGUUGUCUACAGGUGGUGGUAUGAAACUGGGUUGUCUACAGGCGGUGGUAUGAAACUGGGUUGUCUACAGGUGGUGGUAUGAAACUGGGUUGUCUACAGGUGGUGGUAUGAAACUGGGUUAUCUACUGGCGGUGGUGUGAAACUGGGUUGUCUACAGGUGGUGGUGUGAAACUGGGUUGUCUACAGGUCAGCUGAGCUCUAUUCUUUCUCCACCCCAGGGGUAGAACUGUGUUAGUUUUACAGAUAUCAGGUGCAUUGCUUUGUGAUCUUGUAAAUCAUUCUAAG